AUAAUAUUGCAUCCCCUUUCUCUUAAGCAUUCAUUUGAUCAUUUGUACAUUACUGGCAUGUAACUCGGUUGAGUCUAGGAGUCAAGAGUUUCUAAGUUUUGAAGAAUGCAGGAUUAUAUAGUCUCCCUUGAUUAAUUUGAUGUGUAUGUAAAAUUUCAAAAAAAUGAGAAAAAGAAAAAAAAUAUUGAAAAUCUCGAAAGAAAAGAAGGAGACAAACGAAAAACCCAGUCUCGAGAUAAGAAAAUUGAAA
rnacentral:lncRNA from 1 species